rnacentral:rRNA from 1 species
CCUACGGGGGGCUGCAGUGAGGAAUAUUGGUCAAUGGUCGGGAGACUGAACCAGCCAAGCCGCGUGAGGGAUGAAGGUACAGAGUAUCGUAACCCUCUUUUGUCAGGGAACAAAGGCGGGGACGCGUCCCCGGAUGAGUGUACCUGAAGAAAAAGGAUCGGCAAACUCCGUGCCAGCAGCCGCGGUAAUACGGAGGAUGCGAGGUUUACCCGGAUCUAUUGGGUUAAGGGGGUGCGCAGGCGGUCUGGUAAGUCAGGGGUCAAAGCCCGGGGCUAAACCCGGACCCGCCGUUGAAACUGGCAGUCUCGAGUGGGAGAGAGGUAUGCGGAAUGCGCGGUGUAGCGGUGAAAUGCAUAGAUAUCGCGCAGAACUCCGAUGGCGAAGGCAGCAUGCCGGCUCCACACUGACGCUGAGGCACGAAAGCGUGGGUAUCGAACAGGAUUAGAUACCCGGGUAGUC